rnacentral:misc_RNA from 1 species
GAUGAAGAACGCAGCGAAAUGCGAUAAGUAAUGCGAAUUGCAGAAUUCAGUGAGUCAUCGAAUCUUUGAACGCACAUUGCGCCCUGUGGUAUUCCGCAGGGCAUGCCUGUUCGAGCGUCAUUUCAACCCUCAAGCCUCGCUUGGUGUUGGGCCCUGCCCGCCGCGGCCGGCCCUAAAGAUAGUGGCGGCGCCGCCUGGCCCUCAGCGUAGUACAGCUCUCGCUCCAGGGUCCGGCGGCAUCCUGCCAGAACCCCCCAACUCUGUGGUUGACCUCGGAUCAGGUAGGGAUACCCGCUGAACUUAAGCAUAUCAAUAAGCGGAGGA